AAUGUAAAUAUGAUGAACUACCUUCAUGUCUCUUCUCUGAUUGUUGUGAAGAGAAAUGUUGAUAUCUGACUUAAACU
rnacentral:snoRNA from 1 species